rnacentral:rRNA from 1 species
AUUGAACGCUGGCGGCAUGCCUUACACAUGCAAGUCGAACGGUAACGGGCCUUCGGGUGCCGUCGAGUGGCGAACGGGUGAGUAAUGCAUCGGAACGUACCUUUCAGUGGGGGAUAACGUAGCGAAAGUUACGCUAAUACCGCAUAUUCUGUGAGCAGGAAAGCAGGGGAUCGCAAGACCUUGCGCUGAUUGAGCGGCCGAUGUCAGAUUAGCUAGUUGGGGAGGUAAAGGCUCACCAAGGCGACGAUCUGUAGCGGGUCUGAGAGGAUGAUCCGCCACAGUGGAACUGAGAGACGGUCCAGACUCCUACGGGAGGCAGCAUUGGGGAAUUUUGUACAAUGGGGGCAACCCUGAUCCAGCCAUGCCGCGUGAGUGAAGAAGGCCUUAGGGUUGUAAAGCUCUUUCGGCCGGGAAGAAAUCGUAUGGGCUAAUACCCUGUGCGGAUGACGGUACCGGCAUAAGAAGCACCGGCUAACUACGUGCCAGCCGCCGCGGUAAGAC